rnacentral:ncRNA from 2 species
CUCUUAUCAAGAGUGGUGGAGGGAUCGGCCCUUUGAAGCCCGACAACCGGCAUUAUUUAAAUGUAUCGGUGUCAAUUCCUACAGAAUAUAAUUAUUCUGGAAGAUGAGAA